AUGGGCGCAAGCCUGAUGGAGCAACACCGCGUGAGUGAAGAAGGGUUUCGGCUCGUAAAGCUCUGUUGUUGGAGAAGAACGUGCGUGAGAGUAACUGUUCACGCAGUGACGGUAUCCAACCAGAAAGUCACGGCUAACUACGUGCCAGCAGCCGCGGUAAUACGUAGGUGGCAAGCGUUAUCCGGAUUUAUUGGGCGUAAAGCGAGCGCAGGCGGUUGCUUAGGUCUGAUGUGAAAGCCUUCGGCUUAACCGAAGAAGUGCAUCGGAAACCGGGCGACUUGAGUGCAGAAGAGGACAGUGGAACUCCAUGUGUAGCGGUGGAAUGCGUAGAUAUAUGGAAGAACAUCAGUGGCGAAGGCGGCUGUCUGGUCUGCAACUGACGCUGAGGCUCGAAAGCAUGGGUAGCGAACAGGAUUAGAUACCCUGGUAGUCCAUGCCGUAAACGAUGAGUGCUAGGUGUUGGAGGGUUUCCGCCCUUCAGUGCCGGAGCUAACGCAUUAAGCACUCCGCCUGGGGAGUACGACCGCAAGGUUGAAACUCAAAGGAAUUGACGGGGGCCCGCACAA
rnacentral:rRNA from 1 species